rnacentral:rRNA from 1 species
UAUUGGACAAUGGGGGCAACCCUGAUCCAGCGACGCCGCGUGAGGGAAGAAGGUUUUCGGAUUGUAAACCUCUGUUGACGGAGAAAAAAAUGAUGGUAUCCGUUUAGAAAGCCACGGCUAACUACGUGCCAGCAGCCGCGGUAAUACGUAGGUGGCAAGCGUUGUCCGGAAUUACUGGGUGUAAAGGGAGUGUAGGCGGGAUAUCAAGUCAGAAGUGAAAAUUACGGGCUCAACUCGUAACCUGCUUUUGAAACUGACAUUCUUGAGUGAAGUAGAGGCAAGCGGAAUUCCUAGUGUAGCGGUGAAAUGCGUAGAUAUUAGGAGGAACACCAGUGGCGAAGGCGGCUUGCUGGGCUUUUACUGACGCUGAGGCUCGAAAGCGUGGGGAGCAAACAG